GGGAAGAAACAUACCAGGAAAUGCGGAUUAUACACACACCGUCAGCAAUGUAACCAAACAGUAAGUCAAUUUCUCUUAUGAUAGAAACAAAAAAGAUACGGAUAGAUGUUACGAACACAACACUAAACAAUAAGUUGGGUUUCAGAGUUGUUCUACCUUCUUUACCAAUGGUAUGUUCAUAUAUUUCCACGUGAAUUUCACAGAAAAGUAUGCACCAAGUAAAUUACUACAACACGCAGAAAGAUUUACAAAUUUUAAU
rnacentral:lncRNA from 1 species